rnacentral:rRNA from 1 species
GGUCGUCGGCGGAGAGCGGCUGCAUAUCGAUAGGCGGAGGAAUCGGAUGUGCACCCUCUGGACAAUAUAAUAUAUACACCUGUGAACCAACUGUAGUCAGGAGAAAUCCUAACUAUGAUCACCCUAUAUAACUCUUAUUGUAUGUUACAUAGAACGAUCUCAUAUUGAAACUUUGUUUUCUGACAAGUUUCUCUUAAUUAUGAAAUAUACAACUUUCAACAACGGAUCUCUUGGGUCUUGCAUCUAUGAAAAACGCACCGAAAUGCGAUAAGUAAUGUGAAUUGUGCAAUCCCCUGAAUCAUCUAAUCUUUGAACGCACCUUGCGCCCUUUGGUAUUCCGAGGGGCAUGCCUGUUUGAGAGUCAUUAAAUUCUCAACCUUACAAAUUUUUGUAUUUGUCAAGGCUUGUAUGUGAGAGUUGCUGGUUAUAAUAUUUUCUGACUGGCUCUCUUUAAAACUAUUAAUAAGACAUGUAGAAAUGCCUACGGGUGGUGUGAUAAUAUGUCUACCCCUAUACCAG